GCGUACGCGCCGAUCUUCCAGAAAGCGCCAUCCACGCGUGCGCGUGAUGUGCGCGGGCGCGCCGAUUGUGCUGCACCCAAUGCCCAGCCAUUUUCCAGAGAGUUAUGCCAGAACUGUGCCAGUGUUGUGCCUGGGGCACGAGAACACCCGCGCGUACGCGUGGUUGGCGCGUGCGCGUCGAUUGGCAAAUCUUUAAUCCACGCGUUAGCGUGCAUGACGCUUGCGCGUCGAUGAGUUUUUGAGGCCAUCCACGCGUGCGCGUGGAGUGCGCGUACGCGUGGCCCUGUUUUCAUCCCAAAGUUGAUUUUUGAGUUUUAAAAGCCAAAUCUCAUACUUCUAAGCCUCCGAUCUCACCAUUUAUGUCUUAAAUCAUUAUGACAUGCCUAGCUAUUAAAAAGGGGCUAGUGAAUGAGGUAACUUGCGAGUGAAGCAAGGGAAAAAUGAAUGAUCAAUGAGGAUCAAGAUGAUUAUGUGAGAUGCGGAGGAUGGUGG
rnacentral:lncRNA from 1 species